CCAGUGUUGCAUGGUGUCGUCAGCUCGUGUCGUGAGAUGUUGGCUUAAGUCCCGCAACGAGCGUACCCUCAUCCUUAGUUGCCAUCAGGUAAUGCUGGGUACUUUAAGGAAACUGCCAGUGAUAAGCUGUAGGAAGGUGGUGAUGAUGUCAAGUCAUCAUGGCCUUUAUGGGGUGGGCUACACACGUGCUACAAUGGUGUCUACCAUGGGUUGCAAGGUGCGCAAGCUUGCACUAAUCCCUAAAAGACAUCUCAUAUCGGAUUGUACUCUGCAACUCGAGUACAUCUCGUUGCAAUCGCUAGUAAUCGUGCUUAAGCAUGCCACGGUGAAUACCUUCUCGAGACUUGUACACACUGCCCGUCACGCCAUGCGAAUUG
rnacentral:rRNA from 1 species